rnacentral:rRNA from 1 species
GACGAACGCUGGCGGCGUGCUUAACACAUGCAAGUCGAACGGAAAGGCCCUGCUUUUGUGGGGUGCUCGAGUGGCGAACGGGUGAGUAACACGUGAGUAACCUGCCCUUGACUUUGGGAUAACUUCAGGAAACUGGGGCUAAUACCGGAUAGGAGCUCCUGCUGCAUGGUGGGGGUUGGAAAGUUUCGGCGGUUGGGGAUGGACUCGCGGCUUAUCAGCUUGUUGGUGGGGUAGUGGCUUACCAAGGCUUUGACGGGUAGCCGGCCUGAGAGGGUGAACGGCCACAUUGGGACUGAGAUACGGCGCAGACUCCUACGGGAGGCAGCAGUGGGGAAUAUUGCACAAUGGGCGGAAGCCUGAUGCAGCAACGCCGCGUGCGGGAUGACGGCCUUCGGGUUGUAAACCGCUUUCGCCUGUGCCGAAGCGUGAGUGACGGUAAUGGGUAAAGAAGCACCGGCUAACUACGUG